UACGAAGGUCCCAAGCGUUGCUCGGAAUCAUUGGGCGUAAAGCGAGCGCAGGUGGCUUUGUAAGUCAGGAGUGAAAUCCCAGGGCUCAACCCUGGAAGUGCUUUUGAUACUGCAAAGCUUGAGUGUGGGAGAGGAUACUAGAAUUCCUGGUGUAGUGGUGAAAUACGUAGAUAUCAGGAAGAACACCGGUGGCGAAGGCGGGUAUCUGGCCCAACACUGACACUUAGGCUCGAAAGCGUGGGGAUCAAACAGG
rnacentral:rRNA from 1 species